CUCAUACUCGUCCGGGCCAAGCCAUUUUAUUUCUAGCAAGCUUCAUUCAAAUUCUUGUUCACUGUUAAAGGUCGGCCUUUGGGAGGUGACCAGCAUGAGUUAAGGUCAUCUUGUGAUGCUUCGUGCAUUGAGCGGCUCUGACCUCUUGUGGUCACAUUUGGAACUGCGUUGGCAAACCAGCGAGAUUUCAACUGAGAGGCUAGCUAGGCUGAAAACAGGCUGAAUGCUCUCUAUGCUCAUCGGUGCCCCUCUUGAGAGGCAAGUGUCCAAGAAGCCAUUCUCAAAGUUCUCGAGCUUUCUGGCACUUCCAUGUCUUAAUUUCUGUGCCAUCUUAACAAGGAUCACUUUGUAGAUGUCCCUCUUUCUUGCUAAACUCCUCUAAGAUUUUGGCUGUGGCCUUUGAGCUCCACACCCUGGUGAAAGAGGAAAUGAACAGAGAUAGUUUUGCUACUAAAG
rnacentral:lncRNA from 1 species